CGCGGGGUAGAGCAGUGGUAGCUCGUCGGGCUCAUAACCCGGAGGUCGUUGGUUCGAAUCCAACCCCCGCUACCA
rnacentral:tRNA from 1 species